UUUUUAGUAGAGACGGGGUUUCAGCAUGUUGACCAGGCUGGUCUCGAACUCCCGAUCUCAAGUGAUCCGCCCGCCUCGGCCUCCCAAAGUGCUGGGAUUCCAGGUGUGAGCCACCGCACCCAGCCAGUGGUUCACAUCUUUGUCUCCCACUGUCAGGAAAGGUAUGGGGAGGAGCUGUGAAAAGAAAUGGGUGGCCACUGGGUAAGUAACUGGGGACCCAGGGAAAAUCCUGUUACUCCCAUGACUCGCCCACAUGGUCCUGAGCCAGUCACUUUACCACUCUGUGCCUCAGUUUCCUCAAGACUCAGUUGAGGGUUGGGGAGUAUAUCCAUUCAUUCUUCUGACCUAUAUUGACUGAGUACCUACAUGUGCCAGGCACUGUGCCAAGUUAUAACAGUCAACAAGGCACACAAAACCUCGCCCUCAGGGAGCUGACAUUGCCAAGAACCCCUCAAAUCUACCCAGUGACCCAGACUGAGGGCAGAUGUCACCCCUGGCCUUGCUUGCAAUGAUCAUGACGCACAGUGAGCACCGUGGCCUCGUUGCAUAUUCAGACAGAUGACAGCCUGACAUGGAAGCUGAGGAUCUAAUCAGUGGCAUCCACAUGGUAACAGGAAGGAAGGAGCCACUGUGGGUCCUUGAGCAGGAGCACGGAGAUAUCAGUGCAAAACUUCAGAAGGGCAAUUCCAGUGGCAAUCAAUAGAAAAAGACCUUUUUACUGCAUGUCACCCUGCCCCUUAGGUGAGUCAAAUUAAGGCAAAUAGCCGAGGCCAGGCCACCCUGUCUGUCCCCUGUUAUAUUUUUGGUUUUGGUUUGUUUAUAGCUGAGUUAUUCCCUAGUGGUGGCAGUGAUGAUUGGGAAUUUGGCUUUCUGAUCUGACCAUUUGGUGACUUCUGGGAAUGAAUGAACGGAUGUUGGCAGAGAACAGCAGGAGUCAGGCAUGUUAUCCUGUGUCUCUUGGAUCUCUUGCCCUGUGGCUAACGGUGUGAAAAUGAAGCAUUAAGCUCCCUCUGUGGCUGCAGUCAGACUCCUGGGGUGAGUGAGUAAUGUUUUCCCAUCUCUGGAGGGUGUCUAUACAUUAUUUUGUAAUGUCACUUGAAUUAAAGGAACUCAGUUCUGAUUGGCUGAUAGAGAUAAAUAAGCACUUAUACAAAUCAAAUAUUCCUAAAAUUUAGGAAAAUGAGGAAAUCAGACUUUUUAAAUGGCUGUCCUCUGUAGUCCAGGAAGAAACUGAACUUUUAGUACCGUAAAUGCACUAGUCUUGAAAAAGAUUCCUCCUUCAGAAACUAAUUCAGAGACUUUAAGAAUCCAAGUUCUCAUAAUUAAGAUAAAUCUUUGGCAAAUGACAUUAGUUUAAUUAUUUGAGUUUAAUAAAAACAGUAUAGGAUGGGUGCAGUGGCUUAUGCCUGUAGUCCCAGCACUUUGGGAGGCCAACGUGGGAGAAUCCCUUGAGCCUGGGAGUUUAAGACCAACCUGGCCAACAUGGCAAAACCCUGUCUCUACCAAAAAUACAAAAAUUCGCCAGUAGUGGUGGUGUGCGCCUGUAGUCCCAGCUACUUGGGAGGCUGAGGUGGGAGGAUGGUUUGAGCCUGGGAGGCAGAGGUUGCAGUGAGCUGAGAUCAUGCCAUUGCACUCCAGCUGGGGUGACAGAGCCAGAUCCUGUCUCAAAAAAAGCAAAAACAAAAACAAAAACAAAAUUAUGCUAUUAUUAAGUAAUUAUCCUGUAAUUAUUAUGGAUGCUUUCUCUCUGAUUUGUUAGUGUUAAGUAUAAUACAAGUGUGCAUUUAUCUACUUAAGUUUGUAUUUUCCUAAAUUGAUGAAGGUUUACUGAUCAAAUAAGCUACCACUUCUCCUCCAU
rnacentral:lncRNA from 1 species